AACAGUUACAGGUAGGUUGUGGAUGGUGCCAGUAAAUUUUAGAGUUUUGGGAGAUGUGUUGCUUGUGAGGGCUUGGGGUGAUGAAUGAAAAUGGAUGGUGUUUGGGCAUUCAGUGUUUGUGGGUGCAUUCUCGAUAGUUUCUAAGGUGGUGUUUGAGUCAUCCAAGAGAAGUAGGAAACGGGAAGUGGUGCAUCUAUGCCCUAGAGUAAAUUUAUCAUCACAGUUGUAACAUAAACUAAGGGCACGACGUUCUUGCAACUGGGUUGGUGUGAGGCGUUUAAUGGGCAAGGGAUGAUUUAUUUGAGGGUUGACAAUGGAUUUGUUGCUAGGAAAUAA
rnacentral:lncRNA from 1 species